UCUCCUGAUUUUGCCAACGACAUGCGCU
rnacentral:sRNA from 1 species